rnacentral:lncRNA from 1 species
AUGUAUUAGAUAAGUGUAUUGACUGAUUGUUGGUGGACCAUGGUGUAUUACAAUAUUUGCGUGUGUUAGAAUGAAUCAUAAUGAAGUUCGUAUCGGUAAAUUGUUAUGACAUGGUGAAUCAUUUGAGUUGUCUGUUCACUUGUGAUUGUGAUAAUCCAUAAGGGUGGAUUAUGUUGUGAAUGGUUGUAGUUGUGUUAUCAAUUAUGGAUCAUGACAUGAAUAAUGAUAAGUAUGUCAGUUUCAUUUUUUCCAUGCUAUGCAUUCAUAAAUUGUU